rnacentral:lncRNA from 1 species
AGUGGAUCAGAAAAAGGACAGGACCACAUGGACUCAGGAAGAUAAAAAAGAAACAGGGUCUGAACACUGUACCACUGUCUCCACCUGCUUCCUCUUGCAUCUACAUGAGCUCAUCUAGCAAAAGGUGUGACCUGCUUCUGUAGAAACUAACACAGUAGAAGAAACAAGUCUGUAACAU